rnacentral:rRNA from 1 species
CCUACGGGUGGCAGCAGUGGGGAAUAUUGGACAAUGGGCGAAAGCCUGAUCCAGCCAUGCCGCGUGUGUGAAGAAGGCCUUCGGGUUGUAAAGCACUUUCAGUGGGGAAGAAAGCCUUGGGGCUAAUACCCUCGAGGAAGGACAUCACCCACAGAAGAAGCACCGGCUAACUCCGUGCCAGCAGCCGCGGUAAUACGGAGGGUGCGAGCGUUAAUCGGAAUUACUGGGCGUAAAGCGCGCGUAGGCGGUCUGAUAAGCCGGUUGUGAAAGCCCCGGGCUCAACCUGGGAACGGCAUCCGGAACUGUCAGGCUAGAGUGCAGGAGAGGAAGGUAGAAUUCCCGGUGUAGCGGAGAAAUGCGUAGAGAUCGGGAGGAAUACCAGUGGCGAAGGCGGCCUUCUGGACUGACACUGACGCUGAGGUGCGAAAGCGUGGGUAGCAAACAGGAUUAGAUACCCCUGUAGUC